GCGUGUGCCACCACUGCCCAGUAUCUCUUACAUAUAUUUAAUCUAGAAGAACACUCUCUUUUGUCACUAGUUUAACAACCCAGGUCCUAUUUGUGUGCAACAUGAUAUGUUCUAGAUCUGUGUGUCUUCAAUUCUAAGUUGUCCCAUUAUUUUUUAUGUGUAUGUUAAUGUGAUCUUCAAUCUCGAUUUGGGAUUUCAGCUAUUGCACUAUUGAUAUUUUACAGCAGCAAAUUUUUGAGUGUUCUACAGGUGUCCUGUGCAUUGCAGGCUGUUUGGGUCCAACCCUGGCCUCUAGUCACCAAAUCCAAUUGACCUCAUGCCUCUCUAAGGCAUUCUAUACUGUGUCCCCAGACAUUGCUAAAUGUGCCCAUGGGCUGCUGAUCAGCACCAAACUUGAGAACCAUCACCUAGAUGCUUAGGUUAAAGUGAAAAGAACACUGGCAAGUGCAUUUCCUAAUAAGGGGUAAUGUCUAGUGGAAGGGAGCACACAUCAGACUGAGUCACUGAUUCCUGCACUCGUUUAAGGCACUCAUUCCUUGAUGGAAAGCGAAUUCCCCCUCCUGCUGUACACUAUCAUUUUAUACACUGUAAUGUGAGGAUUUUGUCUCCCUACCGACUUUUAUCCAGUUUAUCUCAAAAAAUCAAUGUGACAUAAUGUCAUCGUUUUAGUUUUUGAUGCUCUGAUUAUAACACAUUUCUCCACUAGGAAACACACUUUGGAAGCAGAUUUAGUAUUUUUUGCAAUAGCUUAGUUAUAAGUACCUGCAAUGGUAAAUUCUUAUUGUAUAACACUGAAUGUGAGAACUAGUGUAAAGGUUUAUUUAUUCAGUGAUUUCGGUUAUUGGGACAUUACAACUUUCACUUAACAAGAAUAAAAUGAUGUUUGGAAAGGUGUAUAUAAUAACAAAAUUGGCAAUUAAUUUGAGCCAUCCAUUUGCCUUUACAUUUUUCUGUCUGUGCUCACGGUCAGCUGGUACAUAUAAACACACUUACCGCUCAUGGAUGAUUUAGAACAUUUUCUACUACUGCAAAUACUGGGAAAUAAAUUUACUUCUGAUUCUGAACAUGCCGUACACAUUUAAAUAUACCUAGGAGUAAAUGUGUGUUCAGAAAAACACAUCACAGCAUGGCAUAGUGACUUUAGAAUUGUGACCAGGUAAAGUGAGAAGACGGAGAUUUCAGCUUACUUCUGGAUACUUAAUACCCUUCUUUCUCUAACAAGUUGCUUCUAGUCUCUGGAGCAGCUGCCAGUUUUGCAGUCUCUCCCAAAUCUGGCUCUGUGGUGGUGACAGUAAAGGUAAAGCAGCCACCGCGACGGGUUGCAGACCGAAUGUGAGUUCUUAAAUAGCCCUUAACUUCGCAGAGUCACCGGGAUGCACCUUCCCAGACCUCUUCCUCUUUGCCACCGUCCUGGAGGAGCAGGACCCAGACCUAGCAGCAAACUUUUUAGAAGCACCAACAGGCCCCGCCCCAUCCCGAAUCCUCUUCUCUGAUUGGCCUGUGUGACUCCCGACAGUCCAAUCACAGUUAGAGCCUUUCGGCGCAGCUCGGUGGCGUUGCCGCGCAUGCCCAAUCAGGGACACGCCGUGCAACCCAGUCCUCCCGCGUGCGGCAAAGGGCACGGUGUAGGGUGGUGCUAGCCCGGCUAAGUGCCUGUGCCAAGGUCGCUGGGCCGCGCUGGGACAGGGCUACGCCCAGCAGGAGGGUGACAAGAAAAAGCAGUCUUGUCCCCACUGCCCAAGUUCAAAGCUAACUCCCCUAAGUGCAGGGUUAGGGUGUCCCGCUCACCCGACUGUCUGCUGGGACUCAGAGGGGCGUAAGUUGCAGUCUUCUGAGUCUCGGCCGACCGCAAGGCCGGGUGAAUGGAGCCGGCCCUGACCAGAACAAUCAGCUCUGGUGCAGAAUGGGCUGGGCUGCACCGCCCCAAACGUGGUCGUGGUAGCAUCAUCCCCGAUGCGCCGCCCGGGAGCCGCGGGGUCCGUGUCCCGCCCCAUGAGGCAGCCUCUGGAAGCAGGGCUCCCGCGUGUGCAACUUAGAAAGUGACCGAGCAGCACGGCAGGAGGGGGGCUAGCCUAGCGCCGUCCCCGCCGCGCCGCGUCCGAUCCCCGGCCCAGGCCGCGUUUGGCGGCUCGCCGCUCCCAGCCCCGGCCGGCCCCUGCGGCCGCUCGCAAAACGCGGCGAGCGGAACCCGCACGCGGAAGCGCCCGUCGCACUGAGCAUGCCCAGUGGCACAGUCGAACAGAGGAGUUUUUUUUCUUUUUCUUUUCUUUCUUCUUUUUUCUCUCUUUCUUCUUUUUCUUUUUUCUGGGUCUCCAGCAGGAGGCCUGUCCCCCACCCUCAGUUCAGACUCCCGCCGUCCCCCAGCCUGAGCAGCUAACCAUGGCCGAGGUGUCCGGCGCCGCGUUGUCCCAGGCGGGUUGGUAUCUUUCAGAUGAAGGCAUUGAAGCUUGUACAAGCUCUCCUGGGAAAGUCAAUAUAAAUGACAUCAUCCUGAUUGCUCUCAAUACAGAUUUGAGAACAAUUGGCAAGAAGUUCCUUCCCAGUGACAUCAACGGUGGAAAGGUAGAAAAGCUUGAAGGUCCAUGUGUUUUACAAAUUCAGAAGGUCCGCAAUGUUGCUGCGCCAAAGGAUAACGAGGAAUCACAAGCUGCGCCAAGGAUGCUUCGUGUGCAAAUGACUGAUGGGCACACGAGUUGUACGGCAGUAGAAUUCAGUUAUAUUUCAAAAAUAAGCCUGAACACACCACCUGGCACAAAAGUGAAGCUCUCUGGCACUGUUGACGUAAAGAACGGAUUCCUGCUCUUAAGUGACGCUAACACCACAGUGCUCGGGGGUGAAGUGGAACACCUAAUUGACAAGUGGGCAUUACAGAGAAGCUUAUUAAAACAUAAUAGAAGCAAUAUUGGAGCUGAAGGUGGCCCACCUCCUUUUUUACCUUUUGGACAGAAAUGUGCAUCUAACGUCCAAGUGGAUAGCAGAGAACUUGACCGAAGAAAAACAUUACAAGUUUCACUGCCUGCCAAACCUACAAAUGAUAAUGAUGAAUUUGAAAAGCAAAGGACUGCUGCCAUUGCAGAGGUUGCAAAGAGCAAAGAAACCAAGACAUUUGGAGGAGGUGGAGGUGGUGCCAGAAGCAAUCUCAAUAUUGGUGCUGCCAGUCACCGAAAUAGGGAGGUUUUACAGAAGGAAAAGGCUUCCAAAUCAGAGAGCAAAAAUGAAGGUGUCUAUAGAGAGCUGGUUGAUGAGAAAGCCCUGAAACACAUAACCGAGAUGGGCUUCAGUAAGGAGGCAUCGAGGCAAGCGCUGAUGGAUAAUGCCAACAACUUAGAAGCAGCGUUGAAUGUACUUCUAAACAGCAGUAAACAGAAACCUGUCGUGGGCCCUCCUCCUAGAGGUAGAGGGAAAGGCAGGGGUCGAGUACGAUCAGAAGAUGAAGAAGACCUAGGCAACGCAAGGCCGUCAGCACCAAGUACAUUAUUCGAUUUCUUGGAGUCUAAAAUGGGAACUCUGAAUGUGGAAGAACCUAAGUCACAGCCACAGCACCUUCAUCAAGGACAGCACAGAGUAUUGAAUACUGAGCAAAAUGGGAUAAAGGAUGGCAAUCAAUCAAGACAUCUUCCUCGAAACGAUACCAGGCAGCCGAGAAAUGAGAAACCUCCUCGCUUUCAAAGAGACACCCCCAAUUCGAAGUCAGCCUUAGAAAACAGCGUAUUAUCUAGAAAUAGAGGCUCCGAAAAACCGAGUAGUUCUUCAGGUUCUAAUGUGUGGCCAGAAGAAAGAAUCAAGUGUGAUAGGCCAUAUUCUAGAUAUGACAGAACUAAAGAUGCUUCAUAUCCUUUAGGUUUUCAGCACAACGAUGGCGCUUUUAAAAAGAGAGAUAACUCUAUGCAAAACAGAUCAGGAAGAGGCCCUUUGUAUGCAGAGGCAAAAGAAAACCCACUUCCUCCAGAAUUGCUAGAUUAUAAUAAUCAAAAACGUGGGAAAAGAGAAAACCAAACAGGUAAUCCUGAUCAUUUUUAUGACAGGAAAUCACGGACAAUGAAUAGUGAAGCUUUUAGUGGUCUAAAAAUUGAAAAACAUUUUAGUGUAAAUGCUGCUUACCAGAAUCCUGUCCAAAGUAAUAGUUUUGUUGGUGUUCCAAAUGGAGAAACAGAUAUGCCUCUGAAAGGAAGACGAGUAGGACCAAUUAAGCCAGCAGGACCUGUCACAGCUGUGCCCUAUGAUGAUAAAAUAUUUUAUAAUAGUGGGCCCAAAAGAAGAUCUGGGCCAAUUAAGCCUGAAAAGGUGAUAGAAUCAUCUAUUCCUAUGGAGUAUGCAAAAAUGUGGAAACCUGGAGAUGAAUGUUUUGCACUUUAUUGGGAAGACAACAAGUUUUACCGAGCAGAAGUUGAAGCCCUGCAUUCUUCGGGUAUGACAGCGGUCGUUAGGUUCACGGACUACGGAAACUAUGAAGAGGUGCUACUAAGCAAUAUCAAGCCUGUUCAGACAGAGGCAUGGGUACGUGAUCCAAAUUCUCUACAAAGGCUACUUUGAAGAAAAUAAAUAGCUCUGAAAGAUUAGAAAUAGUCGUAUAAAAUUUGCAAGUGAAAAAAUCUUGAGUUUGUUUAAAAAUGGCCAACUAAAGAUUGCAACUUUAUUGGAACUUAAAACGAAUGCAUUCAAUUACUUUCAUGUAUAAUGUGUUGUUAUAUCAUGCUUUGGAAAUAGAUACCCUUGCUUACAUGUUUGACAAAUAUUUGUAUGUGUAAAAUUGGGUUUUAUGCAUUUUUUCUUUUUCAUAUUGUUACUUUAAAUUUGGCUAAAUUAUGCCCAAAAGUUGUCAAAUUUCAAUCUGUAUAGGAUACAUGCUUUGUUUAUUAUUUUAGGUACCUAUACAAUUAAGAAAAACACUUUAUAUAUGGCUUUGUACAUUGUUUACACAUGCAUAUCUUUACACAUAUGUAUAUGUACAGAGUAACUAAAUAUUUCAACAUAGUCAUUACUUGAUUGAUUUUAUUACCAGUUUGUCCAAGCUGUGUAAUAACUUUGAUCAUGUUAAGUUAGGAUUUCUCUGGCCUCAUGGAGUGUGUGUUUUAUAGGACUCCCCUGACUUUAUACAGGGAUUACCAUCUACGUGUAAGUACAGAUAGCCAUUAGAUAAGCAGUGUCCUACAGUUUUUAUUUUCAUUAACUUCUCACAAUUUCCCUAAAGUGUCAGGUACAAGAGAAAAUCAUACUCCUCUGCCAGGAGCCCUCAUCCCUCACUUUGGAGCCCUGCAUUGUCCUUUCAUGAGCUGCUUUCAGAUUUGGUGUUUUAAGGUUUUUAUGAAAUGUCUUUAUUUGUGUCCUCAUCAUCCUCCAAUAUAAAUAAAGCAAGAACACAAAACUCAUUUGCAGCGUUCAGAUUCAGAGGCAUGGAUAUUUGUUCCUUUUUUAUUCAAGAAAAGCUGUCAUUUUGUAGGGUAAUUUAUCAUUGUAUCUCAUAGUGUGACAUCACUGUUGGUUUGUUGGUUUAAUUAAGAGGGCAUCUCCUUCAGCUUCAUUAUUCUAAAGUUUCAAAGAUUUUCUCUAAAAGACUGAGACACCACCAUUAUCUAAACUAUGGUUUUCCUCUCUUGGGAAAACUUUUUUUUCACAUGACUUUAUCAUCUAGGUCUCGUGUGACAGCCAUUUUCAUUCUCCCUGUUUUCUGUUCAUACUUUCUAACCCGAUUUGAAUGGUAAAAUUUAUUAUUUACUCACUCUGUAUUUCUAGAAGUUGAAUUAUGGCUGGCUAUUUUUACGUGCUCCUAGUUGUUUUUAGUCAUAGCAUUCAGUGUCAAAGUGGAAGUCAUAUUUUUAGUAUGUAAAUUAUACUUGCUUUAUCUAGAGGCUUACAUGAUAUAAGGUGGUCUCAUAGAGCCCAGGCUGUACUCAUCAUGUGGCCAAGGAUGACCUUAAACCAAUCCUUCUGCCUCUACCUGUCAAACCUGGGGUUAUAAGUGUGCAUUCUUGUGCCAGCUUCCAAGUAGAGUUUUUAUGUAAUUUAGUUUUUAUAUUUUUAGAAAUCUUAGUGAGGGAUUGAUUUUACUCUGUUCUUCUAAAUGAAGUAUUUGGUUGUCUUCCUAUUUGCUCUUUUAGGGCAGUCAGACCUGAUGACGUUUGUUGUUCCACACAGACACCCUCUCAUUAGAGGGGUGUGGUCCUGAAAUGCUGCAGUCAGUACUGUCACUUUUCUGCCUUAACAGUCUUCAUGGCCCUUACCUUGAUUUUUAUUUGUGUAAACAUAGCUGAAUGAUGGCUUUAACAGAUGCCAUAGCCUGUUUGCUGAUUGUGUUUGGAGCCACAGUAUACUCUGUGAAUACUCAUUUAUGAUUUACUUUCACAUAUUUUUAAGCUGGAUUGAGACACCUAAACUAUUUUUUGGAAGCAGGAUCAAAUCACUGCAUCUUCUGAAGGUUUUUGCAUUCUUUUCCUCCUGUGUACAGACUUUGCAUAAAUUAAUGUAUAUUGGUUUGUAUGAACAGUUUGGACUGUGGGCCUCUUUGUUGAAAAAGGUCAGCCAUUCUUCUGUCUGCAAGAAUAGUUACUUGAGAGAAACAUCUCCUUGAAAUAUGGAUGCCACCAGCUUAACAUUUCUCUUCUCUCUCCAUUUAAGCAAUAUCUAUGUGUGCAUAGGUACAUACAUAAGAAUCCACUGCAGCAAUACAAUCUAUGCAGAUGUCAGUACAUGUGAUGUACAGUCAAGGUAGAGUUUUCUUAGCUCUGAGAGUGUUUGCGUUGCAGUCUAUGAGCAGAUUUCUUUCUGUACCUUGGGACUAUCUCAAGGUUAAGUUAAUCAAAGUUCUACAAAUUAUAAGCAAAACAUCCACUGUACCAAUAGGAAGGCAGUCCUAGUUGACCGACUCACUGUACAGAUUUAAAGGGCUACAGAGGUGCAGAGAUCUGCAAGAGGCCUUAGCAUAGUUGUUCAUUUACACUGUGGGUUAUUGAACUUUCAGCUUUUACCUUCUUGCACUACAUAUGUGUGUAUUUUUAUGUGAAAUACUAUGUUUAUUUGAUUCAGAUUCAUGCUUGUUAUUGGAGCCAGGAUAUUGGAAAAUCACCUCUUAAGUUUUCCAAAAAUACCAGUGAUUAUUUAGCAAAGCUCCAGGGGAGCUGGGAGUGCACAGGAGGAAUCAGAAGACCUGGGUU